rnacentral:rRNA from 1 species
UACGUAGGUGGCAAGCGUUGUUCGGAAUUAUUGGGCGUAAAGAGCUCGUAGGUGGUUCGGUAAGUCGGAUGUGAAAUCUCCAGGCUCAACCUGGAGGGGUCAUUCGAUACUGCCGUGACUAGAGGUCGGUAGGGGAGUGUGGAAUUCCUGGUGGAGCGGUGAAAUGCGCAGAUAUCAGGAGGAACACCCGUAGCGAAGGCGGCACUCUGGGCCGAUACUGACGCUGAGGAACGAAAGCCAGGGUAGCGAACGGG